rnacentral:rRNA from 1 species
GACAGAGGGUGCGAACGUUGUUCGGAAUUACUGGGCGUAAAGCGCGUGUAGGCGGCAAUGCAAGUCGGGCGUGAAAUCCCACGGCUCAACCGUGGAAGUGCACUCGAAACUGCAUAGCUAGAGUCCUGGAGAGGAAGGUGGAAUGCUUGGUGUAGAGGUGAAAUUCGUAGAUAUCAGGAGGAACACCGGUGGCGAAGGCGGGUCUCUGGGCAGUAACUGACGCUGAGGAGCGAAAGCGUGGGGAGCGAACAGG